rnacentral:lncRNA from 1 species
AGAGAAAACACAUUUUUUGACAUGAUGGACUUUUCUUUUUGUUGUGCUGUAAAGGUUUCCAUUCAAAGUUCUCAAACCAUGCAUGGGAACUUUUCCUUCAUUUGAAUCUUCUUUGUCUGCCUAAAUUUGCAAUCUAGAUUAUUAGCCCUUGAGACACUGUCCAUGCCUACUGUAACUGAUAUUGAAAUAUGUUUGAUGCUAGUCAUGCUACUAAACAGUAAGGUAUAUACAUAUGUCCAAAUAUUGUCAAGAGAUACAACGAUCUCUUGGUUCUGGAGUGACACUAAUUAUUCCGCAUUACUAUGAACUAAUUAAAGACUACAUUUAUAGAGAUAUGAAGACGUAGUAGUAUCAGAAUAACCAGAUCCUAUGCUAAGGUAGCACUACCAGAAGAAAGGCUUUAGCUGACGAAAAUAAAAAACCAGGCCGACGAAUCAUUUUUUCGUCGGCUAAAGAAAUUUUCCUUCGUCGGCUAAUUUAAAUUUUCGUCGGCUAAAUUGUCGGCUAUGGUAAACUUUAGCCGACGAAAUUAAAAUGUCGUCGGCUAAAGAAUUUAUUUCGUCGGCUAAAGUUCACAGACUAUGGCCGACGAAAUAUUUAAAAGUUUAGCCGACGAAAUUAAUAUGUCGUCGGCUAAAGUGCUUUAUAUUUGCAGAUCUGGACAACAGCAGCUCAUAUGGGAAAAAAAUGGGAGAAGAAAAAACGGGAGAAAAAGUUUGGGUGUUGUCGAAAUCUGUCCAUAAUUAGUUUGUGGAGCUAUAUAUAGGUACGUAUAUGUAUAUAUAUGUUGAUUAAUUGAGUUUUAUUUGAGUUGAUCGAUUUUGAGUGUGAUUGAGUUGAUUGAUUUUGAGUGUGAUUGAGUUGAUUGAUUUUGAGUACGUUGGAUGUAUAUAUAUAUAUAUAUAUGUGUGUGUGUGUUGAUCGAUUUGGUUGAUGAUUUGAAUUGAUAAUAUAUAUGAAUUAAGUUGUUGUU